rnacentral:rRNA from 1 species
AGCUCUAACAUUGUGUAUUAAACUUGUUACAGUUUAAAAUCUCAUGGUUGGAUUUCUGACUGAGCAUGUGGGUCCACUCUUACAACUGUGCACCAUAUACGCCUGGUCAUCUUUUGGGAGAGCCACUGUGGCAUUAAGUUGUUGGUGUGGGGAUCCCAAUCCUUUACUGUGAAGAAAUUAAGAUGUUCAAAGAAGGAUUAUGCAGUUCCAUAUACUAGCAUGGAAUAAUAAUAAAGGACUAGUAUACUAUUUUGUUGGUUUGUGCACAAUAGUAAUGAUUAACAGGAACAGUUUAAGAUAUUUGUAUUCCAUUGUCAGAGGUUGGAUUCUUGAACUUUUGGAAGACAAGCUACUACAAAAGUAUUUACCAAAGGUAUUUUCA